rnacentral:rRNA from 1 species
AAUCAACGCUGGCGGCGUGCCUCAGACAUGCAAGUCGAACGCGAAAGUUCCCUUCGGGGGGCGAGUAGAGUGGCGCACGGGUGAGUAACACGUAGGUAAUCUACCUUUGGGUGGGGAAUAACAGCCGGAAACGGCUGCUAAUACCGCAUAAUGCAGCGGCUCGACAUCGAGACAGUUGUUAAAGCGGGGGAUCGCAAGACCUCGCGCCUAAAGAGGAGCCUGCGGCGGAUUAGCUUGUUGGUGAGGUAAUGGCUCACCAAGGCAUCGAUCCGUAGCCGGCCUGAGAGGGCGGUCGGCCACACUGACACUGACAUACGGGUCAGACUCCUACGGGA